AACUCCUGACCUCAAGUGAUCCGCCCACCUCGGCCUCCCAAAGUGCUGGGAUUACAGGCAUGAGCCACCGCUCCGGGCCCUUGCACAUAUUUUUUUAUGAACACACAGGCAGCAGCACUUUGAUUACAGUAACUUACAUGGAAGUUAUUUUAAAAUGGCUUUCCCCUUCUCUUUUUCAUGUAGGCUGCAUUUUUCAUCUGCAGCACGCUUUCUCUCAAGAAUCUCAAGCACACACAAGAAACCAGAGAGUAAAAUCACUGAGGCGUGAACACAUCCAGAGACCAAGGGCGUCACUGGCAGAAAAGCUUUUAGGCGGAUCCACGGCCCGAGAGCCACCCUGCCCAGAGACGCGGUUUCCUAGGAGCAGUUCACACGCGGCUCUGCAGCACCCACAAGCGGGGCCAGGGGCUGGUUUUCAUAGUUCACAGUCUGCAGGGAUCUUAACAAAAACAUGGCCGUGGUAAAAGUGCCUAGACCAGGCUUUCGUCACAACUCAUCAUGUUACUAGGUUAGGAUAAUAAAAAGGACUGUGAACUUCACAUCUGCCAUCUAUAAUAGAUUCUUAUUGUAGCAAUCUUGCACCAAGGGGAUUUCUUUAUUAACUCUGCCAAAUUUUCCAAAAUUACCAAAUGGAGAAAAGAGCUGGUCCCAUCUGUCACCAGGCACAACCAGGAAGUGUCAGAAGACUUUCAGAAGCACAUGCAGUUGCAGCUCCAGUGUUUCAACAGUUGCCCAUUUCCAAGGCCUCCUAAAUACGUAUGAGGCCUGUGGACAACUUUCUCCUCAGCUGUUACAGAACCUGGACAACUUGUAGUGAAGACCUUCCACACCAGUAACAUAUUUUGGUGAGCCAGUCGGGAGUUGGCUAGAUUAGUUCCCCAGUCUGUCUUCUCGCCACUCUGGAUGUCCACAUGAGAGGACCCAAGCACGAAUGGUUAGAAAGAUGAACUUGGAACCUCAGACGAGAAUAUGAGAAACAUAAACAGAGACAUAUGACAACCUAAAAAAUGGAGUACAAUACCAAUAAGAAUAACGAUUA
rnacentral:lncRNA from 1 species